ensembl:ncRNA Y40C5A.22 ncRNA
CAUAAAAUUAGAGAUGAAAUGAUUGAAUGAAGUCGGCAUAAUAAAAAAGUAAGUAGAUAGUUAUUGCGUAAGAAAGGAAACGUACUCGGAAUUAUGUUGCUGCUGUUGAAAGUACUGACGGGCCGCCGUGACACUGGCGAUCGUCAGUGU